GCGACCCCAGGAUGGGCGAGGCCACCCGCCGAGUUUAAGCAU
rnacentral:rRNA from 3 species